GAGGCUAGAGCUGACAGGCAGGCGCGCAAAGAAGUAGAGCUUACUGUAGCCAGAUAAGGGCAGUUGUGACGGUUAGACAGGGAGAAACAAUGCUCUGUAUCAACCAGGCUGGCGUUGGCCGCAAAUAAUAGCAUGCCAAAUGAAAGUAGUCCGUAGUAGUUACUGUUUUCAUUCUGUGGCCAAACACCUGAACGAAACACGUUCAGAAAGACUUACUCUGGCUUAUGGUUUCAGAGGGUUCAAGCCAGGGUUACUUGGUCUCUUCACUUGGGCAGAGCAUUCUGGCAGAGGGGAUAUGUGGCUGAGGCUGUUUUUUUACCUCUUUACGGACAGGAAGCAGAGGAAGGAGGAUAGGAAGACGCCAGGGCAAGACAGAGCCCCUAGUGAUGUAGCCUUCUAAUGACCUAGCUCAUUCGCCAGCUCCCAACAUGUCCAUCAUAUUACAAAAUCAUUGAGGGAUCACUCCAUUGAUGAGGCCAUGAUCAAAUUGUUUCUGGAAAAAUGUUCUGAGAAACACAUCCAGAGAUUAAAGAAAAGAGAGGAAAACCAUCCAGGAGUGGAGAAGAAUGUUAUGGAGGGCUAGAAGAGCAAGGGGUCAGAAAAAUUAAAACAAAACAAAAGAACAAAAAAAGAUUUCCCAAUAAUGAGAAAAUUAGAACAAAAUUACAUGAAUCCAAGAAUGGAAGUAAAACAUGGAAACAUAAUAGCUUAUUUAAACAGAAUAACAUCAAGAAGGUAAAGUUAAAAUGCUAACAGAAGACCACUAGAAAGAAAAAAGAAUCAAGGAGAAAAGAGAGAGAGAAGAAAGAAAAAAACAGAACCAGCAGCAUACAUAAGCAUAAUUAGGGGUUUCAACAUCACAUUGUCCGUCCAGACCUGCUCAUCUCCUGCUUUUACCCUUUCCUUGUCGUGCCUCCAGAUGACUAUACAGGUUUAUUAUGAAAGCUGGAUUUGUACAAGAAAGUUUGGACCCUGAAUUUCGUCCUUCAGACCCUGUUGCAGUUGGGGCUGUUUGGCUUUCCCUUCAUAUUAGCAAGCUCUUCCUAGCUGAACAGAAAGUGACUGUCUGCACCUUGUUAGCUUCUGGGAGCACAUGACACUAUUCUACAGCAGAGAAGGAAGAUAUGCUAAUCCUAAGGGUCGCCCUCUCCAGCUUACAUGGAGUUUGACACAAGUGAUCAGAGCAGGCCUCAUCCAUCCGAAGGGAGGACUAAAUGUGUGCUGUAGACUUGACUGUCUUCCUAGCAUAAAACACCAUGAUCACUAUCAGCAAGUCUUGGUGAGUGACUACGGUGUAGUGGGAGCUGUGUGGAAGCUAGGCUGUCUGUGUCUGUUUCACUGGAAGAGGCAAAAUAACGCCAUCACAAAAUACACCUGGAGCAAGGCUGUUCAGUAUCCCUCACCCCGCUUGGAGCUUUUCCCACUCCGGAGCCCUGCCACAGGCUGGGAGCUAAGACCCGAGUCUCACCUUCAUCUUUUGGAGCCCGUCAACCUCAAAGAACAGGUCAUUCUCAUCGCUGUAAUGAAAACAGAUGUUGGUUAAGCUAUGUCUCCUUAUCAAUACAGUGCAAUAAUGUGCUUACAAAUCUUCACUGUUAAUAAAGCCAUGCAUAGAACGAUA